rnacentral:rRNA from 1 species
GAUCCUGGCUCAGGAUGAACGCUAGCUACAGGCUUAACACAUGCAAGUCGAGGGGCAGCGGGAUUGAAGCUUGCUUCAAUUGCCGGCGACCGGCGCACGGGUGAGUAACGCGUAUCCAACCUUCCGCUUACUCGGGGAUAGCCUUUCGAAAGAAAGAUUAAUACCCGAUGGUAUCUUAAGCACGCAUGAGAUUAAGAUUAAAGAUUUAUCGGUAAGCGAUGGGGAUGCGUUCCAUUAGGCAGUUGGGG